GGAUUGUGGCUCAGCUGUAGAAUGCUUGCCUAGUGAGUGUGAGGCCCUGGGUUCGAUCCUCAGCACCA
rnacentral:tRNA from 1 species